rnacentral:rRNA from 1 species
CCUAACACAUGCAAGUCGAACGGUAACAGGAAGAAGCUUGCUUCUUUGCUGACGAGUGGCGGACGGGUGAGUAAUGUCUGGGAAACUGCCUGAUGGAGGGGGAUAACUACUGGAAACGGUAGCUAAUACCGCAUAACGUCGCAAGACCAAAGAGGGGGACCCUCGGGCCUCUUGCCAUCGGAUGUGCCCAGAUGGGAUUAGCUUGUUGGUGGGGUAACGGCUCACCAAGGCGACGAUCCCUAGCUGGUCUGAGAGGAUGACCAGCCACACUGGAACUGAGACACGGUCCAGACUCCUACGGGAGGCAGCAGUGGGGAAUAUUGCACAAUGGGCGCAAGCCUGAUGCAGCCAUGCCGCGUGUAUGAAGAAGGCCUUCGGGUUGUAAAGUACUUUCAGCGGGGAGGAAGGGAGUAAAGUUAAUACCUUUGCUCAUUGACGUUACCCGCAGAAGAAGCACCGGCUAACUCCGUGCCAGCAGCCGCGGUAAUACGGAGGGUGCAAGCGUUAAUCGGAAUUACUGGGCGUAAAGCGCACGCAGGCGGUUUGUUAAGUCAGAUGUGAAAUCCCCGGGCUCAACCUGGGAACUGCAUCUGAUACUGGCAAGCUUGAGUCUCGUAGAGGGGGGUAGAAUUCCAGGUGUAGCGGUGAAAUGCGUAGAGAUCUGGAGGAAUACCGGUGGCGAAGGCGGCCCCCUGGACGAAGACUGACGCUCAGGU